ACAUGUACGGAACUCGCCAGAGAUGGCUUGGUGCUCGAAAGAGAACCGUAACACAGGUGCUGCAUGGGCUGUCGUCAGCUCGUGUCGUGAGAUGUUGGGUUAAGUCCCGCAACGAGUGCAACCCUUGUCAUUAGUUGCUACAUUUAGUUGGGCACUCUAAUGAGACUGCCGGGUGGACAAACCGGAGGAAGGUGGGGAUGACGUCAAGUCCUCAUGGCCCUUAUAGGUAGGGCUACACACGUCAUACAAUGGAUGGUACAAAGGGUCGCCAACCCGCGAGGGGGAGCCAAUCCCAUAAAGCCAUUCGUAGUCCGGAAUCGCAGUCUGCAACUCGACUGCGUGAAGUCGGAAUCGCUAGUAAUCGCAGAUCAGCAUGCUGCGGUGAAUACGUUCCCGGGUCUU
rnacentral:rRNA from 1 species